rnacentral:hammerhead_ribozyme from 1 species
AGAUAGCCGACGAGUCCUAAAUAGGACGAAAUGGGCAUCCUGGAU